CAGUAGGGAGGAAGGUAGUGUAGUUAACACCUGCAUUAUUUGACGUUACCUACAGAAGAAGCACCGGCUAACUCCGUGCCAGCAGCCGCGGUAAUACGGAGGGUGCGAGCGUUAAUCGGAAUUACUGGGCGUAAAGCGCAUGCAGGCGGCCUGUUAAGUCAGAUGUGAAAGACCCGGGGCGUUAACCUCGGAAUUGCAUUUGAAACUAGGCAGGCUAGAGUCUUGUAGAGGGGGUAGGAAGUUUCAGGUGUAGCGGUGAAAUAGCGUAGAGAUCUGAAGGAAUACCAGUGGCGAAGGCGGCCCCCUCGGACAAAGACUGACGCUCAGAUGCGAAAGCGUGGGGAGCAAACAGGAUUAGAUACCCUGGUAG
rnacentral:rRNA from 1 species